AGUCGACGGUGACACGGAGCUUGCUCUGUGGGAUCAGUGGCGAACGGGUGAGUAACACGUGAGCAACCUGCCCCUGACUCUGGGAUAAGCGCUGGAAACGGCGUCUAAUACUGGAUAUGUGACGUGACCGCAUGGUCUGCGUCUGGAAAGAAUUUCGGUUGGGGAUGGGCUCGCGGCCUAUCAGCUUGUUGGUGAGGUAAUGGCUCACCAAGGCGUCGACGGGUAGCCGGCCUGAGAGGGUGACCGGCCACACUGGGACUGAGACACGGCCCAGACUCCUACGGGAGGCAGCAGUGGGGAAUAUUGCACAAUGGGCGCAAGCCUGAUGCAGCAACGCCGCGUGAGGGACGACGGCCUUCGGGUUGUAAACCUCUUUUAGCAGGGAAGAAGCGAAAGUGACGGUACCUGCAGAAAAAGCGCCGGCUAACUACGUGCCAGCAGCCGCGGUAAUACGUAGGGCGCAAGCGUUAUCCGGAAUUAUUGGGCGUAAAGAGCUCGUAGGCGGUUUGUCGCGUCUGCUGUGAAAUCCGGAGGCUCAACCUCCGGCCUGCAGUGGGUACGGGCAGACUAGAGUGCGGUAGGGGAGAUUGGAAUUCCUGGUGUAGCGGUGGAAUGCGCAGAUAUCAGGAGGAACACCGAUGGCGAAGGCAGAUCUCUGGGCCGUAACUGACGCUGAGGAGCGAAAGGGUGGGGAGCAAACAGGCUUAGAUACCCUGGUAGUCCACCCCGUAAACGUUGGGAACUAGUUGUGGGGUCCAUUCCACGGAUUCCGUGACGCAGCUAACGCAUUAAGUUCCCCGCCUGGGGAGUACGGCCGCAAGGCUAAAACUCAAAGGAAUUGACGGGGACCCGCACAAGCGGCGGAGCAUGCGGAUUAAUU
rnacentral:rRNA from 1 species